AUUGAACGCUGGCGGCAGGCCUAACACAUGCAAGUCGAGCGGUAGAGAGGUGCUUGCACCUCUUGAGAGCGGCGGACGGGUGAGUAAUGCCUAGGAAUCUGCCUAGUGGUGGGGGAUAACGUUCGGAAACGGACGCUAAUACCGCAUACGUCCUACGGGAGAAAGCGGGGGAUCUUCGGACCUCGCGCCAUUAGAUGAGCCUAGGUCGGAUUAGCUAGUUGGUGAGGUAAUGGCUCACCAAGGCGACGAUCCGUAACUGGUCUGAGAGGAUGAUCAGUCACACUGGAACUGAGACACGGUCCAGACUCCUACGGGAGGCAGCAGUGGGGAAUAUUGGACAAUGGGCGAAAGCCUGAUCCAGCCAUGCCGCGUGUGUGAAGAAGGUCUUCGGAUUGUAAAGCACUUUAAGUUGGGAGGAAGGGUCGUAACCUAAUACGUUACGGCUUUGACGUUACCGACAGAAUAAGCACCGGCUAACUUCGUGCCAGCCGCCGCAGUAACAC
rnacentral:rRNA from 1 species